GAUGAACGCUGGCGGCGUGCUUAACACGUGCAAGUCGAGCGAGUGAGUUCUUCGGAACGAUCUAGCGGCGGACGGGUGAGUAACACGUGGGCAACCUGCCUCAUAGAGGGGAAUAGCCUCCCGAAAGGGAGAUUAAUACCGCAUAAAAUUGUCGAGUGGCAUCACAUGAUAAUCAAAGGAGUAAUCCGCUAUGAGAUGGGCCCGCGGCGCAUUAGCUAGUUGGUGAGGUAACGGCUCACCAAGGCGACGAUGCGUAGCCGACCUGAGAGGGUGAUCGGCCACAUUGGGACUGAGACACGGCCCAGACUCCUACGGGAGGCAGCAGUGGGGAAUAUUGCACAAUGGGGGAAACCCUGAUGCAGCAACGCCGCGUGAGUGAUGAAGGUCUUCGGAUUGUAAAGCUCUGUCUUUGGGGACGAUAAUGACGGUACCCAAGGAGGAAGCCACGGCUAACUACGUGCCAGCAGCCGCCGUAA
rnacentral:rRNA from 1 species